UUUCAAGUUAGUGGCGCAGGGGUGAGUAACACGUGGGUAAUCUGCCCAACAGCUCGGGAUAACCAUUGGAAACGAUGGCUAAUACCGGAUACGAACUAGUUUUAUCGUUAGUUGAAAGGAGGCCUCUGCUUGCAAGCUUUCACUGUUGGAUGAGCCCGCGGCUCAUUAGAUAGUUGGUGGGGUAACGGCCUACCAAGUCAGUGAUGAGUAACCGGCCUGAGAGGGUGAACGGUCACACUGGGACUGGAACACGGCCCAGACUCCUACGGGAGGCAGCAGUGGGGAAUAUUGCGCAAUGGACGAAAGUCUGACGCAGCGACGCCGCGUGAAGGAUGAAGGUCUUCGGAUCGUAAACUUCUGUCAGGAGGAAAGAACUGCACGGGUGCUAAUCAGCCCGUGUUUGACGGUACCUCCAGAGGAAGCACCGGCUAACUCCGUGCCAGCAGCCGCGGUAAUACGGAGGGUGCAAGCGUUAAUCGGAAUCACUGGGCGUAAAGCGCGCGUAGGCGGUGAUGAAAGUCAGUGGUGAAAGCCCCCAGCUUAACUGGGGAAUUGCCAUUGAAACUGCAUUGCUUGAGUAUGUGAGAGGAUAGUGGAAUUCCUGGUGUAGCGGUGAAAUGCGUAGAUAUCAGGAGGAACAUCGGUGGCGUAAGCGCUUUACUGGGCCGUAAUUGACACUGAGGAACGAAAGCCAGGGUAGCAAAUGGGAUUAGAUACCCCAGUAGUCCUGGCCGUAAACGAUGGAUACUAGGUGUUGCGGGUAUCGACCCCUGCAGUGCCGAAGCUAACGCGAUAAGU
rnacentral:rRNA from 1 species